AACGCGAAGAACCUUACCAGCUCUUGACAUGCCCGGUAUGGGCGGGAGAGAUCCCGUUCUUCGGUUCGGCCGGCCGGGACACAGGUGCUGCAUGGCUGUCGUCAGCUCGUGUCGUGAGAUGUUGGGUUAAGUCCCGCAACGAGCGCAACCCUCGUCCAAUGUUGCCAGCGGGUAAUGCCGGGGACUCAUUGGAGACUGCCGGGGUCAACUCGGAGGAAGGUGGGGAUGACGUCAAGUCAUCAUGCCCCUUAUGUCUUGGGCUGCAAACAUGCUACAAUGGCCGGUACAAAGCGCUGCGACACCGUGAGGUGAAGCGAAUCGCAUAAAGCCGGUCUCAGUUCGGAUCGGGGUCUGCAACUCGGCCCCGUGAAGCCGGAGUCGCUAGUAAUCGCGGAUCAGCAACGCCGCGGUGAAUACGUUCCCGGGCCUUGUACACACCGCAUAC
rnacentral:rRNA from 1 species